UUUAGCUCUGUAAUAGUUUUUUCACCCAGUUACUGAUUUUUUCUAAAAUCAAACUGUAAAGUUGUUUUCUAUUUAUAAAAGAGGCUUUGUUGUUCUGGUAUAAUCAGUGCCGGAUCACUUCUGAAACUUGAAUACAAGGACCAGGGAGUUGGCUGGUCACUGGGACUUGAAUAGCAGCUUGCAAAAAUAUUAAUUAUUUGGUUUUAAAAGUAUGAAUCCUGCCCAGGAGAUGGACAUUUGAAACUGAAGACAAAGAAUAAAUGUGAAUUGUUACAGGCCAACUUCAAGGUAAAAAAAAAAAAAGGUUUUGGUUUUCAUGAACCAGUUUGAUCCAUUUCAGCUCCACAAAGCUGCCUUCUUUGUCAAUAUGAAGCUGGCGUCAAGAAGAAAGGGUUGCUUUGCUAAAGGUUUGAUGAAAUGAGAGUUAAAACCUCUGAUUAUCCUGCACAGACUCCAUAAAGAAGUCAGAGGUCCAUAGCCUAAAUUAUCUCCUAAGUUUUGAGCCCUUAGACCUAGAGAAUAUUUAAUAAGCAUUCUGAAUCUUGAGAAUGCUUGUAAUUUUUGCUUUGACAUGUCACUCAUUUUAAUUUGACAAAGCCACUCUUAAAACACAAUUCAGAUAAUGCUAAAAUGUCAAUACAUUUCCCUAUGAAGACAGCUCCUUAAUGUGCAGUUCACUCAUUUCCUGCAUUACCAUAGGAAAAGCCAUUCAGCUUACCAAAAGGAUGUCAACCAGAGAAAGCUCCCACAGUCUUAUGAGAAAAUCAUUAGUUUCCCCCACUAAGCCAUUAUUUCCAAUAUACCCUGUUGAGUAGCAAAUUCCCCUUCACAAGGCUAUUAUCAGUGUUCCUCAGAGGUCAUAGACAUGGAGAUUGAGGGGUAAGGAUGGCAUAUGUCAAUGUAACCUUUAAAAGUCCCCAUUUAAAGACUGUGUAUAAAAGGUAACUCUCCAAAGACCUGAACUUUGGCAACUCCGUAAACAGUUAGCAAGCAUCCCCAUUGAAAUUGCCACAUGAGAACAAUUUAAUGAAGUAGAACAUUUGUCAAGAUCAUCUGCUUGAUCUUUUGAUCUCCUUAUAAACAGGUGCCUGGUGGACCUCUCUCCUAAAGUCAGAAGCCUGGAUAAUGAUUACCAAUUGCAUAAGUCGAAGCACUAAUAAGAUCCCUAAUUUAUUCCAUAUAUUUAUGGGAAAAUGAGGCAUUUUCUCAUGUAUUAUUAACAAUUCCAAGAAGGCAUCCUGUGUAAUUACUGCCGUGAGUGUAUCAGGACCCUCUCAUAGAGAGCCUGGAAACAAAAAUGGGUCACUUGGUGACUAUGCAUCAGAUUUUGUUUACAAGGGUGGCUGGCUUGAUGGCCUUGCUGCAGACCUGAAACAUUUAUUUCCAUGUGGUGUGAUAAUCACAGCUUUUUAAAAAUCAUCUUUUUAAUAAAUAAUUUUUAAAUUAUGCAGCCUAUAAUACAAUUUUUGUUCUGUCAUCUAAUUCCUCUCUAUUGGAUCUGAUCCCUAAAUUAAAUAACCUCUGGCAUAUUUUUAUUUUCAAUUAAAGAAUUGUCUUUAGACUUUCAAUAUAGCUGAAGGAAUCUAAUUACCUUGUGAUCUAGUAUGAACCACUAUCCAUUUCUUUGUUACAUGAAACACUUGGAAAUCUCACAUCAUUUUGUUUCCUUUUGAAUUAUGUAUCUAGUCUUAUUUCAUGCACUGAAUUGUUUUGUUUCACGCAGCCAUUAGUUACUAUGUUUUAGUAUUUGUGACUUUAGAUAAAAUCUUUUCUAACCAAAGUUGAAUUAUCGAAACAAGAUGUCAUGCUCGUUAGGGGAUUUAAGAAUAAAUAUCAAAAUAUAUUAUAUCACAACAAUCUCUUGGUGGACAGAUCAUUUGUCUGAGAAUGCAGGAUUGUAUUACUUUACAUUACUGACUAGAUAAUCCAAAGUCUUGAGAUGAAGACGUUUCCUGCAUUAUCCAGGUGGAUGCGAUAUAGUCACAAGAGUCCUUAUAAAAGGGAAGCAUAAUGGUAUACACCCGAGAAGAGGAGAUGUGGUGACAAAAACAGAGGACAAAAGGAUGCACUUUAAAAACUGAGGUGAGUCAAGAGGUAGGUUCACCUGCAGAGCUCACAACUUAGCAAACACGUUGACUUUGGUCUGUCCUUCCAGAUGCCUGGCCUGUUGAACUCUAUGUUGUUGAGUUUGAGUUUUGCAAGCAGCUAUGUUUCUGAUGAUUUAUUGGAGCAGCUGAAAAAAAACUAAUGCAUAUCUUUUACCUAAAGGUGUUUCACUACACUAGAAAGAACAACACCCAGAGGAAAAUGAGAUAAUAAAGGAAGAGUACCCUCGCUGGAUGGCUUGCUGGCUUAGAAGACUUUGUUUCAGAAAGAGGAAAGAGUGGGUGCUGAUAGAACAUUUCAUCCAAGAGCAUAGUGAAGAUCCUACUUAACUAGAAAUAAUGGCUGCCAUCUGGAAAUGAUGUUUUUUAUCAAAAAAGAAGGCAAAGAAAAGGUGUUGAAAAGGCUAAAAAAGUUGGAUAUUAGUAGCUACCAGGUGUUAGGGCUGCCAUUAGAUUAAAAGAAACUAUUUGUUCAGAAAACUCAUUGGCAUAAUUUAAAUAUCCACUAUCCAUUGAAAAAUUAAACUGAUGUGUUAAACAAAAAUUUAACAUAUUGCAGUUAAUUGGUAAGAUAUUUAUCUAUGCUCUAAAUAUGGGAAGUCCAAACAAGCGGUUAUCAUUGCAGAAUGUUCAAGAUGACUCCAAGUGUGAAGAGCUUGAUUUUCAUACAGAGAUAUCCACAUCGUGAAAGACACAACAUUGAGAGUAUCCAUGAUGGUCACUAACAAAACAUCAGACAGCCUCGUGUCAAAAAGUUACAGUCACGAUUGGGACC